AAAAGAGAGAUUAAUCGUUUAAAUGAGUGGCUGGUUGCAGAAAGUAGGUCCCUACUUGGCCAUAUAUCUAUGGGCUUCUAUGCUUGUUCUGUCACUUGUCACGGUGACCUUGUUAUUGAAGGUAUCAUUAGUUGAUUUCAUCAUAUUGUCCGUAAAUUGAAUCCUACGUUCUCUUCCUUUACAACUCUAACCUUGGAAAAGUCUUAGUUUAACGUACUUUUAAUUAAUUUGUAUGUAUAACGGCUAAUGUUAUUCCAAAUAAAUCGUUGUGUUGGCAGAUAUCUGGUUAUCUACCUAUAGUGAUAAAUUUUGUCUGAAUGAUGUAUGUAUAUAAAGUCAUAUAUGAUAAAAGUUGAUUGAUUUCUUGAGGUGGAUACAUAAUAGUUAGCUUUAAACUUUGUUCAAGUGUGUUCAUAUGCCUGGGAUUGACCAUCUUGUUCCAAAACUUAAAAAGCCCCUUUCAGAUUCAGAAUUUUGAUCCUAUUGCAACUUGAUAACUCUGGAAUAUGAAUUUGUAAAUAAUUUAGAUUUAGAAAUCCUCAACAGCAAGUAGAGAAUGUAAAUUAGAAUACCUAAAACCCUCUUAUUGGAGUCCAAUGAGGCUUUUUUGUACUACACUUUUCAAAUUUUUAGCAUAAUUGGUGAAGUUUACGACUUUGUAACUUUUCACUUGUCGUCCUUCUUUACUCUGGAUAUCACAAAAUUACUUAUUAUUUCCUAUUUUAUCUUGAUAUGUCUCCUAAGUUCUGCAGGAUGUGUUCAAUCUACUUCCGUAUUUCAACGUGUUUGAACUAAUUAAAGUUGUUUUAGGUAAAUUAGCUGGUGGUCAAUUGUUAUUUACAUUUUUUCUCCUUGUUGACAACUGCAUUCUGCAUUAGGAUUCAUGUGGCCUACAUAUUAAUAUUCCUGGGCACCAAGUAGCAUUAACAUGAACGUGAAAGCAUUUUCUUCAAAUAUAUAGUGUUUUUUCUCCUUAAAUUUGAAUUCUAAUUGCUUCAUUUGAAUAAAUUGAAGCAUCAAGUAGGUAGUAGCACGUACUCAUUGAAGCCUCAAAGUGGAAAGUUGAAAGUAUUGUUCAACUCUUUUUUUUUUUUUUUUUCAUGAAUUUCAAUUACAAAUUCCUUGUCCGAGUUAACUGCAGCAUCAAGUAAAUAUUAAUACGAGCCACAAAAGAAGGAUUGGAAAUUUAGCUUGUGUGUUGUUUCCUGAACUUCAAUUGCAUUUAAUCUAAUUAAGUGAUUCUUUUUGACACUGAAUUGUGAAGUCAACAUUACUAUAGACAUAAAAGUUGGACUGGCUUGAGACAUCACGUUUCAACAAUGAUCAUUUCCUUCAGAACUUAAAGAGUAGGUGAACAUUUAUAAAUUAGUGAAAUAAGAUUUUUAAGGAUGUUAAUAAUUUUUUAUUGAUUUCUCUUGGCUCUUGCAUCUAUUAUUAUGAGUACUAUUUUUUCAAGAACAUUGUUUCAUAAAUAAUUCGGCUAAAACUGGCUUCUUGCAGGGUUUUCUCCUGAAUGUAACUCCAUGUCAGUGGAUGUAAUAUGGAAAGCAUUUUAGGCAACAGAAGAGGGAUAUAUCGGUGGUUACUAAAAAAUGGUCAAUGAAAUCGCAAUUGGCUAAUAUUAGUUCCUGUUGACUGGUGGGUGAGAUUUGUGAUGGUAUUCUUUACAUUGCUAAUCUUGGUGAUUUCCGACAAGUGUCAGGAAGAGUUGUUAGAGCAACUGGAGAAGUUCUUGCUAUCUAGCUGUCGGUUGAAUAUAAUGCUAGCAUAGAGUCAGUCAGACAGGCGUUGCAUUCUAUGGACCCAGUCACCCGAAUGACUUAAAGAUAGUAGUUCUUAAACAUAAUGUGCAGUGUGUGAAGGCUUGAUACAGGUCUGUUCUUUGCAUAGUUGGAAUGGGGUCCAAAUGCAUAAUUGAUUACAUUUCCAUGGAAGAAUUGACAACAUAAAUUGGCAUACGAUAAUGAUGCGACAUUACUUUAGUAGAUUCUUAUAAAAUGUUGUACAAUGGUGAAAAUUAGUUGAGCAUUUGUUGAAUUAUGUAACCUAAGCAACUAUCAUCCAACAUUACAAAGGUCGAUUUUUCUUCGUUCGCAAAGAGCCAACAUCCAAGUAGUCUCCUUUGGUUCUGGUAAUUCACUAUCAAAAUGGUGGGAUAUGAUAGAGAUGAAUAUGAAAUUUAGAUCAGUAACAGGAUGGAGAGGAGCACGAGGAAUAGGGCUAUGAAGGUGUGUGCAAGCGAAUGGGAAUACGACUACGAAAAAUAUUAGCUAUCAUCUCGCAACUAAGCGAUAAGUGGGUCUUUAGGCUUCUACGAAAUCAUGCUUACGUAUCUUUCAUGCUUGUUUGCAGUUGUUUGUUGUCAUAUUUCUUUUAAUUUAUUUUCCUUUUUCCAAAGUGAAAUACACUUGAUUUUUAUUUAUAUAGAUUUUCCAACAAUAACACAAUGACCAUGUAAUGAAGAUGCAUCCAUCAGAUGUUCAUAGCUUAGACAAGUUGAUUAGAGACAAGCACAAGAUGCUUCACAUGUUGCUGCCCUUGUCCUAAAUGACACUCUAAUGUAAUUUUUUCUCUCUCUCUUUUUCUUUUUUA